rnacentral:rRNA from 1 species
UGGGGAAUUUUGGACAAUGGGCGCAAGCCUGAUCCAGCCAUGCCGCGUGCGGGAAGAAGGCCUUCGGGUUGUAAACCGCUUUUGUCAGGGAAGAAAUCUUCUGAGUUAAUACCUCGGGAGGAUGACGGUACCUGAAGAAUAAGCACCGGCUAACUACGUGCCAGCAGCCGCGGUAAUACGUAGGGUGCAAGCGUUAAUCGGAAUUACUGGGCGUAAAGCGUGCGCAGGCGGUUUUGUAAGACAGAGGUGAAAUCCCCGGGCUCAACCUGGGAACUGCCUUUGUGACUGCAAGGCUUGAGUGCGGCAGAGGGGGGAUGGAAUUCCGCGUGUAGCAGUGAAAUGCGUAGAUAUGCGGAGGAACACCGAUGGCGAAGGCAAUCCCCUGGGCCUGCACUGACGCUCAUGCACGAAAGCGUGGGGAGCAAACAGGAUUAGAUACCCUGGUAGUCCACGCCCUAAAACGAUGUCAACUGGUUGUUGGGAAGGUUCCUUCUCAGUAACGUAGCUAACGCGUGAAGUUGACCGCCUGGGGAGUACGGCCGCAAGGUUGAAACUUAAAUGAAUUGACGGGGU